rnacentral:RNase_P_RNA from 18 species
AUCAUAACCGUUCAGGUAACCGCUGCAUCGCAUGCGAUGUAGAGGAAAGUCCAUGCUCGCACAGGCUGAGAUGCUUGUAGUGUUCGUGCCUAGCGAAGUCAUAAGCUAGGGUAGUCUGGUUCUUAGAACUGGGCUAACGGCAAGGUAAGCACCUACGUUCAUCAUGAAUAUGGUGUGAUGCCUUUGAAAGUGCCACAGUGACGUAGUCCGUUUGGAAACAGACGGAGUGGAACGAGGUAAACCCCUCGAGCGAGAAACCCAAAAAUUGGUAGGGGAACCUUCUUGAAGGAAAUGAACGGAGAGAAGGACGGAAGUUUUACUUCUGUAGACAGAUGGUUACCACCGGAGUACGAGGUUCAUCACCGUUUGUAGUACGAAGGAACAGAACAUGGCUUAUCGAACGGGAAUGAGA